AAUCAAGAGUAGUUGAUUCAAAACCCUAAAGAGAAUCACGUCUAGGAGGAGCUUGUCGUGACGUAGAAAGAAAAAAAUAACUGGUAUGAAGCUGAUCGUGACCUUGUAGAAGCAGAGGAAGGAGCUGCUCGUGGUAACUUGAAAAACAAGCAACGAUGGCUUAAGAAGAAAAAAAAAAAAAAAAACUGAUCCUUGAAGAUGAAGGAGACCAAGCUGAUCGUGAUCUAGUGGAGGACUGCUUGGACUGGAAGAAAGCGAUCACUUGGGUUAGAAGCCGAUCGUGAAGUCCUCUGAAGCUUCUUUUUUUUUUUAAAAAAAAAAAAAAAAAAAAAAAAAAAAAAAGAUCAAGGAGAAGGAUGACAGAGCUGUGGUUAAAAGAUCAAGAAGAGUUUGAUCAUUAAACCUAAUCACGACAAGGAGCAAGCUUGGCGUGAGAAAGAAGAAAAGGUGUUCUUCUUAGAACGAAGAGGAAACGAUCACAAGUGAGUUGUGAUCACAAAUAUAAUAAAUUAAAAAAAAUUAAAAAGGUGCACGAUUCUUUGAAGGCAAAGGAAACUUGGCAAAGGAAAGGCUCAAGCUUAUCAGAUUCUUUGAAGGUUUUACGGUAAAGGAGCAAACUUUACAGAGAAAGUUUCAAGCUUUGUGAAGAAAGUCAACGAUCAUGUAUAACCCAGAUCUGAUGAAAGCACAAAAGAGAAGAAGUAUGCUCAGGUAAUGGGUUCUAAGUUUCUGAAUCUAGUGAGCAAAGUAAAGCGAGAGGAUGAGUUAAGGUUUGAGACAGACGUGGUUUUUUAACGAAGGAAGCUCGUUGGAACUUUAAGGUUCGAGAUGCAGAGAUCCAGAGGAAUAAGGAUUCGAUAGAGACCUUGUUCUUCUCAAAAAAAAAGUUUGAGAGCUUGGUCUUCUCAGAAACGGAGAUGACAAGAGAUUAGAAGUUGAGAGCUUUAUUCAAAGUAGAAGCAUGUGUGGGUUCUCGAGAACAAGGGAAAAGCAAGAAGCGGAGAAAGUGAUAAGUACCGAAGUAUCUUACCAAGGAGAUAACGGAAUUGAGAUGAGAAGUAGAAGAAAGAGUUGAGGAAUCAGAAGAAAUAGAGAUUGGGGUGAAGAAAUCAGAGAGUAGAAGGAAGAAGAAAGAGAGAGACGACGAAGGAAGAAGAUGACAUUGUUUUGAUUAAUUUCGAUAAUCGUUCACAAAGAUCAGGUGUUACUCUAAAUACAUAAACGUAAAAGGCCUCAUUAGCCAAAGCCCACUAAAGCCCAGUAUUUAUCUUGAGAUCGUAUCAGAAAGCUUCUGCAGGGGCUUUGGUGUUUCUCUGUGCUUGUAACUUCGGUGAUUAAGUAGAUUCCGGGAGACGUCGUGGAAACGGAGACGGCGCCGGAAGAAGAUCUUCUCGGUGACAGAAGAGACUUUAGAAACAACGACAGCAGAGUCACCGGAAAUCUGCACAGAUGGUGAUUUGAGUUUGCAAUCGGGAAGAGUCGUGGUGGGAGAAGCUCACCGGUCAGGGUCGUGAUGGUUUGAGCGUGAGUUCCAGCAAUUAACAGCGAAAUCGCCGGAGAUGGAGUCACCACAGUAAGUGUCACCGAAAAUCGCAGAUGAUGUUGAAAUCAAUGUCAAAGUGUGGAGGAAGAAGCUCCAAGGCCGACGACGGAAGCUUCACCGACGGCAGUAGAGACUCGCCGGCACCGGAGGUUGCUCUAGUAAAAAUCGUUUGGUCGAUUUCGAAGUUGGAGGAGUCGUAUCUUGGUGUCACCGUCGUGAAGAUAAAGGAGAAAGAAAAGCUCGUGAUGUAUCUUCUUUGUCUAAUGGGCCUAUAUAGGCCUGGUUUUCUUAAAAGAAAUUUUGCAGCCCAUCUGGAGAAGGUCUUGGUUGAGAUUGUAAAAUCUUAAUCAAAGAAACUGAACGGAGGAAAUUCGCGACAAAGCUAUGUCAGAACCUGUAUAAGUUAGUCGGCAGGAGUAAUUGGAGACAGGCGAAGCUCUCUUAAAGAAACCGAUGGUACUUAGCCGGCAAUCUUCCAUGGUAGAACACCAAGAUUCUUUGGAGGAGAAACUCCAGAACUUGAAGUCUCUCAACGCGAUUCUUCUAAAGCAGACUAUAGAGACGAGACAUCAGACUGAGUCGCUUGUUCAGGCUAAGGGUGAGUUAGAGACCGAGUUGGCUCGCUAUAGCUCGGAGGGAACUGAGUUACGAGACGAGUUGGAAAAGGAAAAUGAGUGAAGAGUUGAUUGAUGGGGUUAAGAAGGAGAAGAUUGUUCUGGAGAAGACGAUUGAAGAGAAGAAGACGGAAAUCGAUGGAUUGAAGCGAGAAACCGAAGAUCUAUUUUUUUUGUGAUGAGAAUGAGAUGGAUCAAAAGGAUGAUGAGUUAACGCGUUUCAUCUCUGUGCUGCAAAACGAUUGUGAUGGUCAGGGUAAGACUAACGAGAAACUUAGUCUUAGACGUUGGAAAGCUAAGCAAUGCGCUUGAGCAGAUGGCGCUCGAGAGAGAAAAGGAUGGUAAGGUGCUUGAUGUAGAGAAGAGACAUGGAGAGGAACUUAAUACUUGCGUUUUAAAAUCCGAAAGAUGAUUGAAGCAAUUGUGAAAGAGCUUGAGAAAGUUAAGUUUGAGCGCGAGAGUAUUGUGAUUGAAGACGACAAAACUCGUAGAUUAAUGACCGAGACUGCAACAAAGUCCUGUCAAGAGAAGCUAGUGGAGUUACAGCGAAGCAAGGUGAAAAAAAAAAAAUCGAAGUCGGAAACCGAAAGCAAUGGUUCCGAUUCUGAUUCGAAGGCAACAUUGAAGAGGAAGUGUGAUUCUGUCUCGAUUUUGGGUAUUGGUAAAUGGGAAACGGAUUACGAGGCGAUCAGGAGAAGAGUAUAAGAACCUUGCUGUAAUUGAUGAUGAUAGAUCCCAUGGGAGAUAGAAGAAUAUGGGCAUAAUUGAUUUUAGGGAUUUAAAAUCAAAAGUGGAGUAAAGACGAGAAAUGGAACAGUUUUGAGUGAUUCAAGUUGGGAUUAAGUGAAGUUUGCACAUCGCAAGGCAUAUAACACAAUAAAAAAGGGAGAAUCUAUGUUGAGUUAUGACAUAGAUUAAGAGAAUCUCGGAGAACCGUUGUUGGGCGUGACAUAGGUUAAGAGAGAUUGUGUGAGCUUUAGUUUUUGAGUAAGUUUUCUAAAGCAAUAAAAGAGUGAGUCUUUUAUAAUCUCGUGUUCUUAAAUGAGAAGAGAGCAAUGGUGCAGAACACACUUGGAAAGGAUCAAGUUCAAGAAGAUGAGAGAUUUUAUGGGAGUUCAAGAUAUAUCAAAAGAAGAAUUCAAGCUUAAGGGGGAGAAUGUUGGCAUAAGCUUGAAGAUAGCUUGAGCAAUACGCUAUACCAAGAGACAUUAGGAAAAGUGUUAUAUUUAGGAGUUAUCUAAAUAUGUAAGAUUUCCUUUUGAGAUUAGGAAACUCUUCUCUAUAUAAGAAGAUGCUAAGUUGUGGCAUAACUUAGGAGUUUUUAGAGAGAGAGAAUUAAAGGUUUAGAACUACGUGUGUGGCUUGAUCCCUUCUAAAGGGUACGUAGGCAAUCUUCUUUAGAAGGUGCAGCCAUUCAAUAUCGUUGAGUAUUAAGACUUUGCGGUCUUACAAUUACUCAAGAAGCAGAGAUUAGGUCAGAAUCUCUCCCAAAUUAUAUCUCUUUAUGCAAAAUAGAGCUA